AGAGUUUGAUCCUGGCUCAGAACGAACGCUGGCGGCGUGCCUAACACAUGCAAGUCGAACGGGAUUGAGGUGCUUGCACUUCAAUUUAGUGGCGCACGGGUGAGUAACGCGUAGAUAAUCUGCCUGACGAUCUGGGAUAACACUUCGAAAGAGGUGCUAAUACCGGAUAAGCCCACGGAGUCUUUGGAUUCUGCGGGAAAAGGGGGGGACCUUCGGGCCUUCUGUCGUCAGAUGAGUCUGCGUACCAUUAGCUAGUUGGUAGGGUAAAGGCCUACCAAGGCUACGAUGGUUAGCUGGUCUGAGAGGAUGAUCAGCCACACUGGAACUGAGACACGGUCCAGACUCCUACGGGAGGCAGCAGUGGGGAAUUUUGCGCAAUGGGGGAAACCCUGACGCAGCAACGCCGCGUGGGUGAUGAAGGCCUUCGGGUCGUAAAGCUCUGUCUGGAGGGAAGAAAUGAUUGGGAGCUAAUACCUCUUGGUCUUGACAGUACCUCCGAAGGAAGCACCGGCUAACUCCGUGCCAGCAGCCGCGGUAAUACGGAGGGUGCAAGCGUUGUUCGGAAUUAUUGGGCGUAAAGCGCGUGUAGGCGGUCUUUUAAGUCUGAUGUGAAAGCCCCGGGCUCAACCUGGGAAGUGCAUUGGAAACUGGGAGACUUGAGUACGGGAGAGGAGAGUGGAAUUCCUAGUGUAGGAGUGAAAUCCGUAGAUAUUAGGAGGAACACCGGUGGCGANNCGGCUCUCUGGACCGAUACUGACGCUGAGACGCGAAAGCGUGGGUAGCAAACAGGAUUAGAUA
rnacentral:rRNA from 1 species